GCGCUGCAAUGGCAGGAACGGGGUUCGGCGGGAUCCCGCUGAGGAGGAGGAGGAGGAGGAAGAGGAAGAGCGGGAUGCGGCCGGCGCGAGUCGGUGGCUGCGCAGUCCCCGCAGGUCGGAGGAGGGUUUAAAGGCAGGUGCGCCCGAGGCCGCUCGCCAUGUCCAGAUCCGGGGACAGGACCUCCACCUUCGACCCCAGCCACAGCGACAACCUGCUGCACGGCCUCAACCUGCUGUGGAGGAAGCAGCUCUUCUGCGACGUCACCCUGACGGCCCAGGGCCAGCAGUUCCACUGCCACAAGGCUGUGCUGGCCUCCUGCUCCCAAUACUUCCGAUCCCUCUUUUCCAGCGGCGGCGGCCACCCCCACGCCCUGGGGCUGGGGCCCGGCGCCCAGGACGGGCUCGGGGGAGCCCCCCCGAAGGAGCCGCCGCCGCCGCCGCAGGAGGAGCCGGGCACGCCGUCCUCCUCCCCCGAGGACAAGCUGCUGGCCAGCCCGCGGGCCAUCAACAACCUGGUGCUGCAGGGCUGCUCGUCCAUCGGGCUGCGCCUGGUGCUGGAGUACCUCUACACGGCUAACGUCACCCUCUCGCUGGACACGGUGGAGGAGGUGCUGUCGGUCAGCAAGAUUCUGCACAUCCCGCAGGUCACCAAGCUGUGCGUGCAGUUCCUCAACGACCAGAUCUCGGUGCAGAACUACAAGCAGGUGUGCAAGAUCGCCGCGCUGCACGGCCUGGAGGAGACCAAGAAGCUGGCCAACAAGUACCUGGUGGAAGACGUGCUGCUGCUCAACUUCGAGGAGAUGCGCGCCCUGCUCGACUCGCUGCCCCCCCCCGUCGAGUCGGAGCUGGCCCUCUUCCAGAUGUCCGUGCUCUGGCUGGAGCACGACCGGGAGACCCGCAUGCAGUACGCCCCGGACCUGAUGAAGCGCCUCCGCUUUGCCCUCAUCCCGGCGCCGGAGCUGGUGGAGCGGGUGCAGUCGGUAGAUUUCAUGCGCACCGACCCCGUGUGCCAAAAGCUGCUGCUGGACGCCAUGAACUACCACCUGAUGCCCUUCAGGCAGCACUGCCGGCAGAGCCUGGCCAGCAGAAUUCGCUCCAAUAAGAAAAUGCUGUUAUUGGUUGGAGGAUUGCCUCCUGGACCUGACCGGCUACCCAGCAAUUUGGUUCAGUACUAUGAUGAUGAAAAGAAGACAUGGAAAAUACUGACAAUUAUGCCAUAUAACAGUGCGCAUCAUUGCGUCGUGGAAGUGGAAAACUUCUUGUUUGUACUUGGAGGAGAAGACCAAUGGAACCCAAAUGGGAAGCACAGCACAAACUUUGUUAGCCGAUACGAUCCCAGGUUUAACAGCUGGAUACAACUUCCACCCAUGCAAGAGAGGAGAGCCAGCUUCUAUGCCUGCCGCCUGGACAAGAACUUAUAUGUAAUUGGUGGAAGAAAUGAAACUGGCUAUUUGUCCAGUGUGGAGUGCUACAACCUGGAGACAAAUGAGUGGCGUUAUGUGUCUUCCUUACCACAACCUUUGGCAGCCCAUGCAGGAGCCGUUCACAAUGGCAAGAUAUAUAUUUCAGGAGGUGUUCACAAUGGAGAAUAUGUCCCCUGGCUGUACUGCUAUGACCCUGUGAUGGACGUCUGGGCCCGAAAACAGGACAUGAACACAAAACGAGCCAUCCACACUUUGGCUGUAAUGAAUGACCGACUGUAUGCCAUUGGAGGAAACCAUUUGAAAGGUUUCUCCCACCUCGAUGUAAUGCUUGUGGAAUGCUAUGACCCUAAAGGUGACCAGUGGAAUAUCCUCCAGACUCCCAUUCUGGAGGGCCGCAGCGGUCCUGGCUGUGCAGUUCUUGAUGACAGUAUUUACCUUGUAGGAGGAUACAGCUGGAGCAUGGGCGCCUACAAAUCUUCUACUAUUUGCUAUAGCCCUGAGAAGGGGACUUGGACAGAGCUAGAAGGAGAUGUUGCUGAGCCACUUGCAGGUCCUGCUUGUUCAACUGUGAUACUGCCAGCCUGUGUGCCGUACAACAAAUGAUAGUGGAGGAGCACUGACACGGACACUGAUUGCAUUUGGGAAAAUAAUGACGGGUGACGUAAAUAUUUUCUUAGAACAGGAUUCCUGUUAAACAAAUCUACUGUAAUUGACCCUUUAUUCCAUAUUUACGCUUUAGGAGCAAACUAAAAGAGAACAAAAAGAAAGCGUUGUCCCAUCUCAGAUAGAAGCCAGUGUCUUAUGAAGCAAGUAGCUAAAACACACCGAACAUUACAUGCUGACAGACUGCCAUUUCAGACUGAUUUUAACUUUUUCCUGCUGCAGAAAGAUUCCUCACGUCAACUCUAACUUUAAAAGUAUGAAGGCUAAAUGUUCAGACACAGCCUGAAGAGACAAGAUCAGUAUUGUGCAUUGUAUCUACCUGCAUGUGAUCUGUGUUGAAGUCAUGAGGAUGUUGUUUUCAUGAAUGCUUCAGAAUUCAGAUAGUGAAAAGCUCACUCUGCAUUGCAGAAUUGUCUCCUCCUGAAAUCCUAACCUACAGCUACUACACAUGCUCUGCAAGCAACACAGGAUCAGAAGAUUAUAGAAGCAGAAAACUACCUUUGUGUCAUUGAUCCUUUUCUUGAAGAACACAGGUACUGUGUUACCUGCCACAAUAUGGGAUGAGCAUCUAACACGGUUCUACAAUGACUCCAAUUAGCAUCCAAAUGACGUCUGUGGGUUUAUCCGGAGAAGAAAGGCAGAACUGGAGCUAUUUUCCCCCAGUUUCAUGGCACACGGAGUGCUCCCUCUGCCCAGAGCCCUGGUCAAGUAGCAUUUGAUUUUAGUUUUGAUUCAAGUUGCACUUGAAUUUAGUUGUCCUUACAAGUGAACAGAUAAGAGGGAAUCUAUUUAGAAAUUAAAAACAAGGGAAGGAGAUUCAAAAAUGCAGCAUUUUCCCAAGUAUUUCUUUUCCUUCAGCAUCUGCACAUGCACACAGAAAAUCAGUUGGAUUCAUUUAAAGUGGUAUCAGCACUUCAUCUAAAAGGCUCUUCUUCCAUUUGGAAGAUCCUUUAAUCACUGCAGUGUUUUCUAAAAGCAUUCAUUGCAAUUUCAAAAGUUGUACUAUGAAAAACACCUUCAAAAUCCUUCUGUUUCCAACUUCUUUCCAGCUUCCUUCUCUGCCAGUACAGAGAAGAUCAGGAGAUUUCUUUCAGACCAACAGAACUGCAGCCUAGAGCUGCAAUACGUUGAAGCUUUGCACUGGGAUCUUCCCUUCACCAACAAGCCUUGCCCCGGUCAGGAUAUGAUAGAACUGAUAUUCUGGCAUUGCUCAGGAUGGAACGUACUCUUCUUAACAGUAUUUGCAGGGUGAAAACCAUCAUCUGAUUAUGCAGGAUUUGGGUGUAAAGAGUACAGCAUGAUAAGCUUUACUGAAUGGUUUUUACUUACAGGCUGCACAAAAGAUGCAUCAACUCACUGCAGGAAAGUAGUAGAAUCACAGAAUCAUUAAGGUUGGAAGAGACCACUGAGAUCACAUAGUCCAACUGUCAGCCCACUCCCACCAUGCCCACUAUCCACGUCCCUCAGUGCCACAUCGACAAAGUUCUUGAGUACCUCCAGCAAAAAAAUUCUGUUGUCUUUUAAGCUCUUUGGCUUCUUUUAGUGGAAAGACAUUAAAUGGCAUUUGUGAAAAACACAUUUGCCUGGCACACUUCUUCUUCCACGUCUUGUGAAUUAUUCUACAACAGUACACUUUUGCCACAAUAUGUUCUCCAUCAGUUUCAUAAGCAACUGAACACUGUCAGUACGCAAAAUGAAAAGACAGAAGAUUUUCCAGCUGUGCUUUAUUUUGGCUAGAAUAAAGGUGCCAUUCUCUGGAUUCCCUCUUCUUAUUUUCAGAAUGGGCCUCAAGUGAAAAUAAAUCUGGGAGCUAUAGGAAUUUGUCCUUCUGAUCAUGAAAACACCAGCUCUUCCCUUUGCCCUGUGAGGAAUGCAACCAGAGAUGAGCCUUGGUUGAUUCCAGUGUGGUUGUUUAUUCUGAUAUUGUUUACCAUGUCUGUGCCCAUCCCAAAUUCAUCCUACGAAAUGUAUAAUGUGCAGCCUGGUCUAAUGGUUGGUAACCCUGCCCACGGCAGGGGGGUUGAAACCAGAUAAUUUUUGAGGUCCUUUUCAGCUCAGGGCAUUCUAUGAUUGAUUGGUUGAUAGUACUGCCAUGGUGCAAAUAAAUCCCCUAGCACAGCCGCUGCCAACACCUCAUUUCCCCAGACCUGUUUUCCCUUCUUUGUUCUUCCUUAACAUUGCCACUUCUGGAUCUGGCAAUGGCAAGACCAGAUACUUCUGCCUCGUUGCAUGUUUCAUGUUGGCAAAUGCCAUGCACUGGCUCUAUAGUUCAGUGUGAAUAGAGUGUAAUCAGACAGCUCAGCAUUGUGUGGCUUCCCACUCUCUUCCCUCCUCCACUGUCUGCAGUGUGCAGCUCACCCCAGUGUUCCCUGGGCCACAGGACAGGUACUGACAGAGAGGACUCCGAGAAUCAUUCUUUAGAUCUGGAGCAACACUCGAUGGAUGACAUCCUCUACUCAUUGGUUCCAAUUAGAGGAUGAACUGUCCUCUAUUUUCCAAAGCGUGUUAUAAUUUUGAAUGGGUUUCUCAUGGGCAGUGGGCUACCAUAGGAAAUCUCAUUUUGACAAGUACUAAUUAUGGACAAGCCAGUGGCAGACUGUAAUCUCUGUCAUGAGAGCUAUCAACAGGGAUGCAGCGAAGGCUUUAACAGUGGGUGGCAGUACUUUGGGUCAAAUUAAUCACUUCCAUAAUGACAAUGAAAUCAGUAGAGCUUUGGGAUGUUAAGUUUGAUAAAAGAAGCCAUUCUGUUCUCUGUCUGGCUAUUUACAUCACAGCCUGAGCUAAUCUUUUGUUAGGCUUUUCAGGGCUGGGGCUUCUGGGGGGAGAUGGAGGAGAGAACAAAGAACAGCCCCUCUUGCAGAAGCAAUGCUUUCAUGUCCAGAUCCGAGCUGCUGCAUGUGGAUUAAGGAAGUGUAAAGCAGACAGCCCCAGAUUUGCACAGGCAAUUAUUCCAAGGCACACAAAAAUGUAAGUGGCACUUUUGGGGAUGCAAUCUUGGAUGUGCCGAUGUGCACGGUCAGCUCUGUUUGGCCUCAGCUUUUGCCAGAGAGAUUUAAGAACAUCUCUUCCACUGCAUUCGCAUCCUUCAGCCAUGCCGUAGGGCCUGUGGUCUGAAGAACCUCACUAGCACAGGGUAUAGGCAACUGCCAGACACAGUGUGCAGAUGCAGUGAGGGGCAGAGGUGUUGGGAAGCAGCCGGGUGAGCAGAUUCUGCAUGUAAUGGUGCUACACUAAACUGUGUCAGAUUUUAACCUGAGUACAGCUAUGAGCUCACUUGCUGGGAAUGAUUCAUUCUGCUUUACUCUGCUUCAGACACAUAUUUCAUGAUUUGCUACUAAUGGCUUUUUCUGUAAAGCCAAGCCUUAGAACUUUCCUCAGUUCCCUGCAUUCAUGAGGAUGCUCCAUCAAGACCCUGGGGGACCCCAGGAAGGGCCCAUGCAGGGGCUGGGCAGGAGCUGCUACCUCCAGCAUCACCCAGUGCAUCCCACCAUGUCUAUGUGGACACAGACACAACAGGAGGCAUUGCAGCUUGUGUAGGGCACAAGCACAAAACACAUCUGCUUCUUUCUACACAGGACUCCUCCAUCCCCUCCCCUAUCCAUUAAGGGAUAUCUCCCCAUGUCCUCCGCAUCUUCUGGCAAACUAUCAAAUACUGCUGUUGAAGACAGCAGCCCAGCCUUCUGUUCAGGGCUACAAUGGACAGUUUUCAUUUCUACAUCUGUAGUCCCACACCUAAUAGGAAGAAUCAAAUGUAAAGCAAUGUCGUUCCAUCCACCUGCUUAAAACAAGAGUGGUCACAAAAACACCAAGGUCCUAAAAUCCAUAUAAAUUGCUAGCCAGUGUUCGGGAUCUAUUUUGUAACUGUGCAGAAUGAUCUGCUCUUUUAUUAGAAUGGUUAAAGGAGAUUUAGAGGGAGGAAAGAGCAUGGUGACUUCCAAGGGAAGAGUGAGUGAUUCAGUGCAAAAAGGGUAAAUUUCAUCUGCACAUUCUUAACGGCGAGGACAUUCUGCACAUCUCAGGAGUGCACUAAGUGGUGCAGUAAACCAGUAAAUUAGAAGAAUGUAAAUUCUUUAGUAGGAAUUGCACGCAAGGGAAAAAUGCUUCCUCAUGCUCAUAUUUGUUUUCAUGAAAAUAAUGUACACUCUUCCUAAAAUCAAACUGGUACAGAGCUGAGUAAGACAUCAAAACCAGUAAUAGAUAUUACACUGGACUAGGAAAUGGCAAUGACACAAUUAUCUUUCGUGUUUCUGAUGAUCACUGUGAUAAAGCGAGGAGCUGGCAUAUUCUGAGCCUGGCACAGAGCGAGGAGCAUUGUGGUUCCCUUCCCCUCUCACUCUGUCUGUCUUAUUUAUCUCUCAUUAAACUAAAUUGUAUUCUUAUUGGCUGACUGACCUCUGAUAUUGUUAUUAAUUGAUUUAUAUAGUGCCUUUUGCAAGCCUCGAGGCACUUCAGAGAAUUGCAAAUAUAUACGGGGAUCACUUCACCAGUCACCUAAGUGCAGCCACCUUUAGGGUGGAAACAGCAGCCACUGCAAUAGCACUGGAAAUCUUUUGGGUUAGCAGGGAAGGAAGACUGAUGGAGUCGACAUUUCUGCAAUCCUACUGCCCAGGAGCUGCCUUGGAAUCAGACUGGAGGUGAAGGAAAUUGUAAAGAAAAAUUACCCGUUCACGCCAAUUAUGAGUUAACAGAGUGGAUUUGAAAAUGAGUGUGAGACAUAGAAAACCAGCCUCGUGAAUUCAGUACCCACGUGAGCUGUGGGGAGGCCUGUAUUUUCUUCUCAGAGUCCUGACGGCCACAUACACCUCACAAGUAUCAUUCUCCAUGUCAGACAUUUGGAAAGCUGGCACAGAUUUCAGUCUGGACACCAUGUUUAGUAUAGGACCAAAGCAUCUCUAACAGAAGGUUGAGCAUCCAACCUUUUGGCUUUCCUGGGCCACACUGAAUGAAGAGGAACUGUCUUAGGCCUUGUGAAAAAUACAUAAUAUAGUUAAUGUACAUAAUUAACAAAGCUUAUUUUAAAAUAUUUUUUAUUAGAACAAAAGAGAGCGACACAACAUAAAACCAGUGAGAUAGGUGACCGUUUUUGUGAAAUUAACACAUCAUCCAGGUUCAGUGGUGGUGCCUGCAGAUCUUAGUGAAUUCUCAAGAUGUUUGCCAGAGAUUUUUUAUGAAAUCUUACCCUUCCUGUACUUCUUCUUUGACAGGAACCCCCAAAGGCCUCAGUGAGGGGAAGGGCAAAUUCCUUCACCUGGGGAGGAACAACCCCACACACCAUGACAUACUGUGGCUACUGAGCUGGAAAGGAUCUAGCAGUCCUGCUGGACUCCAAAUUGGACUGAGCCAGCAAUGAAGCUAAGAAACUGGAAACUAAGGCAAAUGGUGUCUUGGGCUGCAUGAGGUCAAGUGCUGACAGCAUGUCUGGGACAGAUCCUGUCCUUGUGCUCAGACCUGAGGAAGCCACGUCUGAAGUGCUGGGUCCAGAGCUGGGCUUUCCUCUGCAAGACUGACCUGGUCACAUAGGAGAGUCCAGAGGGCCAUUAAGAUGCUAAAGGACCUGGAAUACUUCUGUGCAGAGAGGCUGAGAGCUGGGACUGCUCAGCUUGAGAUGAGGAGGCUCAAGGGGAUACCAUCCAUACACCUGAAUACCUGAAGGGAGGAACAGAGAGGUUGGAGCCAGGCUCUUGCCAGAGCGCUGUACUCAGGGGCUGCCUGAGCAGGCCGUUUGGAGAAAAUGGACUCCAGAUAAGACGAACAAUUUCGUCUCCGUACCUGUAGCUGUAGGGGGGGCUGGUAUACACCUUGAACCUGGGCUACCUGUGGGGUUGAUAGAGACUUUGACCACUUAUCACUGUAAUAGUGAGGGUAGGGCACUGCGAAGAGGAAGCUUGUAGAAUCCUGCUUCACUGGAACGAGUUGCCCAGAGGCUGUGCAUUCUCGGAGAUCUUCAGAUCCGCCUGGAUGUGGACCUAGGCACUAAGUGUCCCUGACUGAGCAGGCGCUGGGCUUAGUGGCCCCUUGCUGAGUUCACGGUUCUGUGAUUCUGUGGUUCCAUGAGUGAUGAAGAGAGAAAUGCUACAGUAGGCUAACACACACAUAGAAGGUGGCCACCAAUUAUGGCUGUAUCUCGCACAAAAAGCAGCACCAACCUCCAUAAAAGGGCACUUUGUCCCAUGGCAGUACCACAUCGAUGGUCCCUUCACACAUCAGCGCUAUAUUUUCAAAUGUAGGAGAUGGCAAUCAUGUAGUGUAAGUUCUUGAGCAUUUGCAAUAAACAUUUCUAAGAUUUUUUUUCUUCAAUUAUAGAUGAAAGGCUUUGUGGGUGUUUUUGUUUUUUGUU